CCCUUAGAUGUUCUGGGCCGCACGCGCGCUACACUGAUGCAUUCAACGAGUUUCUUCCUGGUCCGAGAGGAAUGGGUAACCUUUUGAAAGUGCAUCGUGAUAGGGAUAGACUAUUGCAAUUAUUGGUCUUCAACGAGGAAUUCCGAGUAGACGUAGUUCAUCAGACUGCAUCGAUUACGUCCCUGCCCUUUGUACACACCGCCCGUCGCUCCUACCGAUUGAAUGCUCAGGUGAGCCAUUCGGACUUUCAUCAUGCUGGUUUCCAGUUUUGAUGAAGGAAAGUCUUGCGAACCUUAUCAUUUAGAGGAAGGAGAAGUCGUAACA
rnacentral:rRNA from 1 species